CAUAAUGUGGUAUCUGAAGUCCGUGAGCACCAUCCUGUGGCUGCAGCUAGUCAGAGUACUGUGACAACAUUAAAAGGUCCUGAGGAUCCCAGUGGCUACAUGCUGAGACUUCAUCGACCAUCUCGAGAGAGCGCCGAAUCUGGUGGGUAGGUCCUGGGACACUGCCAGCAUGGAGGUAGGGUGCCCUGAGUAAAGAAGAAAGACUGGACUUUGUGAUGUUUGGAUGUACCAGCACCUGGAAAUAGCAAGCCUUGGCUGCCUGCCUCUCCUCAGCCUUGCCAAGCUGCCCUGCAGAUGUACAUCCACACCCCUUGAUUUUCCUGCUGGGAGAAUCGCCCGCUGGCCAAACCAAAGCCCCGCUCCCUCGCAGGGAGCUGCCUGCACCAGGGCUGGACAGCUGAGCCAGUGUUGUUCAGGAGCUGGGAUGAGGAUGAGUGCAGGAUGCUUCUAUGGGAUGUCAGAGACUGGCUGCAUGCAUGGGUGUGGAAUUGCGCAAUUACCUUAAAGCGCAGUAUUAAAUAAAA